rnacentral:rRNA from 1 species
AUUGAACGCUGGCGGCAUGCUUUACACAUGCAAGUCGAACGGCAGCACGGGGGCAACCCUGGUGGCGAGUGGCGAACGGGUGAGUAAUAUAUCGGAACGUACCCGGAAGUGGGGGAUAACGUAGCGAAAGUUACGCUAAUACCGCAUAUGCCCUAAGGGGGAAAGCGGGGGAUUCGCAAGAACCUCGCGUUUUCGGAGCGGCCGAUAUCGGAUUAGCUAGUAGGUGAGGUAAAGGCUCACCUAGGCGACGAUCCGUAGCUGGUCUGAGAGGACGACCAGCCACACUGGAACUGAGACACGGUCCAGACUCCUACGGGAGGCAGCAGUGGGGAAUUUUGGACAAUGGGCGCAAGCCUGAUCCAGCCAUGCCGCGUGAGUGAAGAAGGCCU